CCCACCAAUUCAUGUAUCCCUGCAUCCGUUCAUUCCGGGCCGAGCGAUCUAAAUCCUGUGCCUCGCGCUGAGUCUGUAGAAAAAUUGUAAUUACAUGCCCGCUUCUGAACUUAACCAACAUCUCUUUUUGCAAAACUCCCCCUAACUCUAAUUCUUGAAACCCCACCCGUGAUCCCUGCACCAAGUCGUGGACUAAUGGCCUCGAUUUCCCCUGCCGACGAGACCAUGGACGCACCCGUCCUCCUCAAGUUCCUCCGCCGUGGACAACUAAUAGGGCAGCGCCGCCUUCAAUAUGGUCGGCAAGACCUUCGGCUAGUGCAGAGAGUCGAAGAGCGUCGGCGACACCGACGCCGCCGCCGUCGAGCUACUGCCGGAGGAGAUGCUGAGGGGCACCACCACCGACAUGGAAGGGGGCUAGGCAAGGUGUAUCCUGUGGAGGCAGCACACCAUGGAUCCGCCCGCCGAGCUCGACUUCAGGCCCACCGUCCCGUCGCUGCUACAGAUUGUUAUGAAUGACAUUGGUCAGGUGAUAGUCUGUCUAUCCUAGUUGAGUUCUGGAAGAUUGUUCGGUUGCGAUGGUUUACGACUUGGUCUGGCUUCGAAACUAAUCCAGUGAUUCUUGAGUCUGAGAGUGCUUAGGCGGUGUCACCAGUACAGAAAAAGGGCAUUGAUGUCUGUAGAGUCUAUAUUAUGCACCAUUUACAUAGAAAUUAUCUUAUUGUGUGAUGUACUUCUUGAACCCCGAGUGAUCAAGAUCGCAUGAAAACGAAACAAGUUGACACGUGAAUUAGCCCCAUGUAUUAGGAACAGAGUGUGGGUGUUGUAUGCUGCUAUAACUGAUUGUAAACACAUUCUUUCUGUUCAUAGAUAAAGUUAUCUCUUUAAUUGUGAUAAGGACUGGACACAUCUUUGUUCUGUUUGUAGCUAUUGGUGGCUAUCACUUACCAAUCGACAUCCGAAAUCUCAAAGGCAAGAAGUGGCUGCCAUCGCCAUGCCAAGGAUGAGAAGGAUAUGGCUGGAACGCAAUGCUCGCACAUUUGAGGGGCAAAGCACGGCCCUGGGGCAGCUCGUCCAGCUCGCCAAUGAAGAAUUGAGGAUGUGGAACUUGGCACACGCAGGGAGAAGAAGAUGACUAGUGGGUACUAGGGAGGAGUAGUUUUCUUUGUUGUAGCUAUAGCUGUUGUCGGUCUGGGUGGUUGUGCCACAUGUAAAACCUUGUAAAUCCAUUUCUCUGCCUUAAUGAAAAUGACAAGCAACAUUUGGUUGCUGGUCCUAGUAUGCUACU